AAGUAAGGAUGAUCUGUCUGCUAUAUCAGUUACCUGAUAGAACACUAGGGUUGAUUCAGUUGGUCUGGAUGGCUAGGUGGAUGCCUCCUUCCUUCCUUGUGACUUUAUGUGCAUCCCUCCCAAAGCUGCAAGCUCAGUCUGAUAGGAUAACCUUCCCCAGAAUAGAGGAGGGUGGUCUAUAGCCAAGGAUGCACAAGUAGCUCCACUCACUCCCCUGCUAGAAUCUCCAGAAAAAAUCUCCAGAAAAGUCACAGACUGUUAUUAGAAAAAGUUCAGAGCCAGGGGUAAGAUAACUUUAGUAAGUUAUUGGUCAGCGAUGUCCCUGAUGCCCCCAAAAU
rnacentral:snRNA from 1 species